CACCGGCAACAAACACCACCACCACCACUGAGACACCAGUGGUGGGAGCAGCAACGGUGGCAGCAGCAACAGCGGCAGCUGCAAUGGCCACCUCUGAAACUCAAGUGCAGCCAGCUCCUGCUCCCAACCACCAGGUGACUAAUCCAGCCCCUGCAGCAUCACAGAACGACGCAAGUGACGCUGUCCUUCCGGCCGCAGCUCCUGAUGUCCUUCCAGCAGCUGCUGAUGCUGCCGCCGCCCAUGCUGAUGCUGCCGUCG